CCUACGGGAGGCAGCAGUAGGGAAUCAUCCGCAAUGGGCGAAAGCCUGACGGUGCAACGCCGCGUGAGUGAGGAAGGCUUUCGGAUCGUAAAGCUCUGUUGUGAGGGAAGAACAGCUUUAGGAGGAAAUGCCUAAAGUUUGCCGGUACCUCACCAGAAAGCCACGGCUAACUACGUGCCAGCAGCCGCGGUAAUACGUAGGUGGCAAGCGUUGUCCGGAAUUAUUGGGCGUAAAGGGCACGCAGGCGGUGAGGCAAGUCUGAUGUGAAAGGCCGGCGCUCAACGCCGGAAUGGCAUUGGAAACUGCCUGACUUGAGGACAGAAGAGGAGAGUGGAAUUCCACGUGUAGCGGUGAAAUGCGUAGAGAUGUGGAGGAACACCAGUGGCGAAGGCGACUCUCUGGUCUGUGCCUGACGCUGAGGUGCGAAAGCGUGGGGAGCGAACAGGAUUAGAUACCCUGGUAGUCCACGCCGUAAACGAUGAGUGCUAGGUGUUAGGGGUUUCGAUACCCGUAGUGCCGAAGCAAACGCAAUAAGCACUCCGCCUGGGGAGUACGACCGCAAGGUUGAAACUCAAAUGAAUUGACGGGG
rnacentral:rRNA from 1 species